UACAACUAAGAAAAACCAUGAGUUCUAUUUUUAAAAACAAACACUCAAGAAAUUAUGCAUUGAAGUUGUAUUUCGUUUAAUCACAUUUUCAUUAUGACUAUUUAUUAUUUAUUUUACUUAUCCAAUUAGGAGAUUUACGCAAGCCUCAUUUUCAUGUUUAUUAAAUUCAUCCCCAACACUAAAAUAAAUAAGGACCAAGUCUUAUCACAGAGAAAACACGCACAUACUCUAUAGAAAGGAUUAGAUAUUUUUUUCACCUAAAAAAAAACGAAAAAAGAGGAUUAGAUAUUUUUUGGGUCGUAAGCAAUUAGUUAACAAGGAUAUUCA
rnacentral:lncRNA from 1 species